rnacentral:lncRNA from 1 species
UAUAAUUGUAUUGAAUGAAAACUUAGAUACAUGUGUGGAUACAUAGACAAAGCAAUGUCCCUAGCAAGCCUCUAGUUGGCUAGCCAGUUGAUCAAGGAUAUGUUGGUGAACGUUGCAUGGGAAACAAAAAAAUUCCUACGCACAUGAAGACCUAUCAUGGUGAUGUCUAUCUACGAGAGGAGAUUUGGAUCUACGUACCCUUGUAGAUCGUACAGCAGGAAGCGUUAAGAAACGCGGUUGAAGUAGUGGAACGUCCUCACGUCCCUCGAUCCACCCCACGAACCGUCCUACGAACCGUCCCGCGAUCCGUCCCACGAUCCGUUCCGAUCUAGUGCCAAACGGACGGCACGUCCGCGUUCAGCACACGUACAGCUCGACGAUGAUCUCGGCCUUCUUGAUACAACAAGCAAGACAGAGAAGUAGAUGAGUUCUCCGGUGGUGGUGAUGAUCUACUCCUGCAGGGCUCCGCCCGAACUCCGUAGAAAUACGACCUAGAGGAAGAACUAUGG